AUUGAACGCUGGCGGCAGGCCUAACACAUGCAAGUCGAGCGGCAGCGAGAAAGUAGCUUGCUACUUUUGCCGGCGAGCGGCGGACGGGUGAGUAAUGCCUGGGAAAUUGCCCAGUCGAGGGGGAUAACAGUUGGAAACGACUGCUAAUACCGCAUACGCCCUACGGGGGAAAGCAGGGGACCUUCGGGCCUUGCGCGAUUGGAUAUGCCCAGGUGGGAUUAGCCAGUUGGUGAGGUAAUGGCUCACCAAGGCGACGAUCCCUAGCUGGUCUGAGAGGAUGAUCAGCCACACUGGAACUGAGACACGGUCCAGACUCCUACGGGAGGCAGCAGUGGGGAAUAUUGCACAAUGGGGGAAACCCUGAUGCAGCCAUGCCGCGUGUGUGAAGAAGGCCUUCGGGUUGUAAAGCACUUUCAGCGAGGAGGAAAGGUUGAUGCCUAAUACGUAUCAACUGUGACGUUACUCGCAGAAGAAGCACCGGCUAACUCCGUGCCAGCCGCCGCCGUAAGAC
rnacentral:rRNA from 1 species